GACGAACGCUGGCGGCGUGCUUAACACAUGCAAGUCGAGCGGAAAGGCCCUUCGGGGUACUCGAGCGGCGAACGGGUGAGUAACACGUUAGUAACCUGCCCCAUACUUUGGGAUAACCCUCGGAAACGGGGGCUAAUACCGGAUACGACACAGCUUCGCAUGGGGUCUGUGUGGAAAGUUUUUCGGUUUGGGAUGGGCUCGCGGCCUAUCAGCUUGUUGUUGGGGUGAUGGCCUACCAAGGCGACGACGGGUAGCCGGCCUGAGAGGGCGACCGGCCACACUGGGACUGCGACACGGCGCAGCAUCCUACGGGAGGCAGCAGUGGGGAGUAUUGCGCAGUGGGCGGGAGCCUGAUGCGGAGGCGCCGGGUGAGGGAUGACGGCCUUCGGGUGAUAAACGUCUUUCAGCAGGGACGAAGAGUAAGGGACGGUACCUGCAGAAGAAGCGCCGGCCAACUACGUG
rnacentral:rRNA from 1 species